rnacentral:snRNA from 1 species
GUGCUCGCUUCGGCAGCACAUAUACUAAAAUUGAAA